UUCAUUUAUUCCUGUGAAGGACCUAUUUGU
rnacentral:piRNA from 1 species